rnacentral:rRNA from 1 species
GACGAACGCUGGCGGCGUGCCUAAUACAUGCAAGUCGAGCGGACCUCUUCGGAGGUCAGCGGCGGACGGGUGAGUAACACGUGGGCAACCUGCCUGUAAGACUGGGAUAACACCGGGAAGCCGGUGCUAAUACCGGAUAAUCCUUCUCCUCUCAUGAGGGGAAGCUGAAAGACGGUUUCGGCUGUCACUUACAGAUGGGCCCGCGGCGCAUUAGCUAGUUGGUGGGGUAACGGCCCACCAAGGCGACGAUGCGUAGCCGACCUGAGAGGGUGAUCGGCCAAACUGGGACUGAGACACGGCCCAGACUCCUACGGGAGGCAGCAGUAGGGAAUCUUCCGCAAUGGACGAAAGUCUGACGGAGCAACGCCGCGUGAGCGAAGAAGGCCUUCGGGUCGUAAAGCUCUGUUGUCAGGGAAGAACACGUACCGGAGUAACUGCCGGUACCUUGACGGUACCUGACCAGAAAGCCACGGCUAACUACGUGCCAGCAGCCGCCGUAAGAC